ensembl:ncRNA lncRNA:CR44967 long non-coding RNA:CR44967
GGUAAAUUUCUCAAGAUAUAUUAAUCUUAAUUACAAACUGAAAUUUUUAUGUUAUUAUUUAGAGCACUAAAUAUCAGGGACACCGCCGGGACAGGAAACCACCAUCACUGGGAGCCCGGAUUCGGGAAACCAGCAGAAGCGUCGAGUUGCAAGGUAGCCCAAAUACUGGCGAAAUGGCGGCCACAAGCUGCAAAGCCAACAUGGCAGCUGACAUCUGUCAGAUGCUGUUAUUCCGCUGCACUUUUAGUCGCCUCCGGGCGGCAGUGGGCCAUCUGGGCUCCCUAUUCCGGCCGCACUUUGUUUGCCGAGCCCGGCUGAGCACUAACAAUGGUGCACCCGGAGCCAAAUGGGAGCCACUAACGAGCAGCUCCAUGUGGUGACGUCGAUCGCGGGAAUCAAGGCUUUUUCUCGCAACGAAAUGGUGGCGAAGUGGUCCUCCUAAAUAUUUGCACUUCGCCCGCCUCGUUAGCCUCUUACUCAAAGUCCUUUAUGUAUUUUU